rnacentral:rRNA from 1 species
UACGAAGGGGGCUAGCGUUGUUCGGAAUUACUGGGCGUAGAGCGCGCGCAGGCGGCUAUCCAAGUCAGUGGUGAAAGCCCGGAGCUUAACUCCGGAACUGCCAUUGAAACUGUUUAGCUUGAGGACGAGAGAGGUGAGUGGAAUUCCCAGUGUAGAGGUGAAAUUCGUAGAUAUUGGGAAGAACACCGGUGGCGAAGGCGGCUCACUGGCUCGUUUCUGACGCUCAGGCGCGACAGCGUGGGGAUCAAACAGG